UACGGAGGGGGCAAGCGUUGUUCGGAAUUACUGGGCGUAAAGGGCGCGCAGGCGGCUGCUCAAGUCAGGCGUGAAAGGCCUGGGCUCAACCCGGGAAUUGCGCUUGAGACUGGGCUGGCUUGAGUGCGGGAGAGGAUGGUGGAAUUCCCAGUGUAGAGGUGAAAUUCGUAGAUAUUGGGAAGAACACCGGUGGCGAAGGCGGCCAUCUGGACCACAACUGACGCUGAGGCGCGAAAGCUAGGGGAGCAAACAGG
rnacentral:rRNA from 1 species